rnacentral:rRNA from 1 species
GAUGGAUUGGUGCCUUCGGGAACUCUGAGACAGGUGCUGCAUGGCUGUCGUCAGCUCGUGUUGUGAAAUGUUGGGUUAAGUCCCGCAACGAGCGCAACCCUUAUCCUUUGUUGCCAGCGGUUAGGCCGGGAACUCAAAGGAGACUGCCAGUGAUAAACUGGAGGAAGGUGGGGAUGACGUCAAGUCAUCAUGGCCCUUACGAGUAGGGCUACACACGUGCUACAAUGGCGCAUACAAGAGAAGCGACCUCGCGAGAGCAAGCGGACCUCAUAAAGUGCGUCGUAGUCCGGAUUGGAGUCUGCAACUCGACUCCAUGAAGUCGGAAUCGCUAGUAAUCGUGGAUCAGAAUGCCACGGUGAAUACGUUCCCGGGCCUUGUACACACCGCCCGUCACACCAUGGGAGUGGGUUGCAAAAGAAGUAGGUAGCUUAACCUUCGGGAGGGCGCUUACCACUUUGUGAUUCAUGACUGGGGUGAAGUCGUAACAAGGUAAGCGUAGAUGA